rnacentral:rRNA from 1 species
CCUACGGGGGGCUGCAGUAGGGAAUAUUGCUCAAUGGGGGAAACCCUGAAGCAGCAACGCCGCGUGGAGGAUGAAGGUUUUCGGAUUGUAAACCUCUGUCAGCAGGGAAGAACGGUCACUGUGCUAAUCAGCAGUGAAUUGACGGUACCUGCAAAGGAAGCACCGGCUAACUCCGUGCCAGCAGCCGCGGUAAUACGGAGGGUGCGAGCGUUAAUCGGAAUUACUGGGCGUAAAGCGCUCGUAGGCGGUAUGUCAAGUCAAGGGUGAAAUCCCCGCGCUCAACGUGGGAACUGCCUUUGAAACUGGCAAACUGGAGUGUGUGAGAGGAGAGUGGAAUUCCAGGUGUAGGAGUGAAAUCCGUAGAUAUCUGGAGGAACAUCAGUGGCGAAGGCGACUAUCUGGCACAUAACUGACGCUGAGGAGCGAAAGCGUGGGUAGCAAACAGGAUUAGAUACCCCAGUAGUC